AGAGUUUGAUCAUGGCUCAGAUUGAACGCUGGCGGCAGGCCUAACACAUGCAAGUCGAACGGUAACAGGAAGCAGCUUGCUGCUUUGCUGACGAGUGGCGGACGGGUGAGUAAUGUCUGGGAAACUGCCCGAUGGAGGGGGAUAACUACUGGAAACGGUAGCUAAUACCGCAUAACGUCGCAAGACCAAAGAGGGGGACCUUAGGGCCUCUUGCCAUCGGAUGUGCCCAGAUGGGAUUAGCUAGUAGGUGGGGUAACGGCUCACCUAGGCGACGAUCCCUAGCUGGUCUGAGAGGAUGACCAGCCACACUGGAACUGAGACACGGUCCAGACUCCUACGGGAGGCAGCAGUGGGGAAUAUUGCACAAUGGGCGCAAGCCUGAUGCAGCCAUGCCGCGUGUAUGAAGAAGGCCUUCGGGUUGUAAAGUACUUUCAGCGGGGAGGAAGGGAGUAAAGUUAAUACCUUUGCUCAUUGACGUUACCCGCAGAAGAAGCACCGGCUAACUCCGUGCCAGCAGCCGCGGUAAUACGGAGGGUGCAAGCGUUAAUCGGAAUUACUGGGCGUAAAGCGCACGCAGGCGGUUUGUUAAGUCAGAUGUGAAAUCCCCGGGCUCAACCUGGGAACUGCAUCUGAUACUGGCAAGCUUGAGUCUCGUAGAGGGGGGUAGAAUUCCAGGUGUAGCGGUGAAAUGCGUAGAGAUCUGGAGGAAUACCGGUGGCGAAGGCGGCCCCCUGGACGAAGACUGACGCUCAGGUGCGAAAGCGUGGGGAGCAAACAGGAUUAGAUACCCUGGUAGUCCACGCCGUAAACGAUGUCGACUUGGAGGUUGUGCCCUUGAGGCGUGGCUUCCGGAGCUAACGCGUUAAGUCGACCGCCUGGGGAGUACGGCCGCAAGGUUAAAACUCAAAUGAAUUGACGGGGGCCCGCACAAGCGGUGGAGCAUGUGGUUUAAUUCGAUGCAACGCGAAGAACCUUACCUGGUCUUGACAUCCACGGAAGUUUUCAGAGAUGAGAAUGUGCCUUCGGGAACCGUGAGACAGGUGCUGCAUGGCUGUCGUCAGCUCGUGUUGUGAAAUGUUGGGUUAAGUCCCGCAACGAGCGCAACCCUUAUCCUUUGUUGCCAGCGGUCCGGCCGGGAACUCAAAGGAGACUGCCAGUGAUAAACUGGAGGAAGGUGGGGAUGACGUCAAGUCAUCAUGGCCCUUACGACCAGGGCUACACACGUGCUACAAUGGCGCAUACAAAGAGAAGCGACCUCGCGAGAGCAAGCGGACCUCAUAAAGUGCGUCGUAGUCCGGAUUGGAGUCUGCAACUCGACUCCAUGAAGUCGGAAUCGCUAGUAAUCGUGGAUCAGAAUGCCACGGUGAAUACGUUCCCGGGCCUUGUACACACCGCCCGUCACACCAUGGGAGUGGGUUGCAAAAGAAGUAGGUAGCUUAACCUUCGGGAGGGCGCUUACCACUUUGUGAUUCAUGACUGGGGUGAAGUCGUAACAAGGUAACCGUAGGGGAACCUGCGGUUG
rnacentral:rRNA from 3 species